rnacentral:lncRNA from 1 species
GGGCUGGCUCUCAGUCACCACAGCAUGGGUGGCCUUUAUGUUCAGGUUUUGCCCAAGAGUCAGCUUAUUUGCUUCUAGUACUAGCAGGGUAGAUGCUGCCAAGGCCCUCAAACAGGGGGGCCAUCCUUUAAAAACCCUGUCUAGUUGUUUAGAGACGUAGGCCUCCGGCCUCAGCCAGGGCCCCACAGUUUGGGUUAAAAGUCCAGCUGCCAUCUUUUCUCUCUCUGACACAUACAAUGGAAAAGGUUUUGUCAGAUCGGGUAGCCCCAGGGCUGGGGCUGCCAGAAGUUUUUCCUUUAACUCAUGAAAACCUUGCUGUUGUUGGGAUCCCCAUUCCAAAGCUUCCCGGUCCCCGCCCCCUUUGUGACCUCAUACAAAGGCUUGGCUAAUAACUGGAAAGUUUGGGAUCCACUGUCUUCAUAACCCCACAGCUCCUAAGAAUUCUCUCACCUGCCUUCUGCCCUUAGGCUCUGGUAGAUUGCAAACGACCUGCUUUCUUUGUGAUCCCGGGCUGCAUUCGGACCCCUGUCGGACAGUAAAUCCCAAGUAAGGCUCCGGUAGAUUGCAAACGACCUGCUUUCUUCCUGAUCCCGGGCUGCGUUCGGACCCCUGUGGUAUAGUAAAUCCCAAGUAAGGUACCUGCGGUCGGCAGAUCUGAGCUUUCUUCUUGGACACCUAAUACCCAGGGUCCUCCAGGUGGGUCCUAAGGAUCUUAGGAUUCGCGAUGGGGGUCUUAGCC